rnacentral:rRNA from 1 species
CUUGCUUCUCUUGAGAGCGGCGGACGGGUGAGUAAUGCCUAGGAAUCUGCCUGGUAGUGGGGGAUAACGUUCGGAAACGGACGCUAAUACCGCAUACGUCCUACGGGAGAAAGCAGGGGACCUUCGGGCCUUGCGCUAUCAGAUGAGCCUAGGUCGGAUUAGCUAGUUGGUGGGGUAAUGGCUCACCAAGGCGACGAUCCGUAACUGGUCUGAGAGGAUGAUCAGUCACACUGGAACUGAGACACGGUCCAGACUCCUACGGGAGGCAGCAGUGGGGAAUAUUGGACAAUGGGCGAAAGCCUGAUCCAGCCAUGCCGCGUGUGUGAAGAAGGUCUUCGGAUUGUAAAGCACUUUAAGUUGGGAGGAAGGGUUGUAGAUUAAUACUCUGCAAUUUUGACGUUACCGACAGAAUAAGCACCGGCUAACUCUGUGCCAGCAGCCGCGGUAAUACAGAGGGUGCAAGCGUUAAUCGGAAUUACUGGGCGUAAAGCGCGCGUAGGUGGUUUGUUAAGUUGGAUGUGAAAUCCCCGGGCUCAACCUGGGAACUGCAUUCAAAACUGACUGACUAGAGUAUGGUAGAGGGUGGUGGAAUUUCCUGUGUAGCGGUGAAAUGCGUAGAUAUAGGAAGGAACACCAGUGGCGAAGGCGACCACCUGGACUAAUACUGACACUGAGGUGCGAAAGCGUGGGGAGCAAACAGGAUUAGAUACCCUGG